rnacentral:rRNA from 1 species
UUCGUAGGUGGCCAACUAAGUCAGACGUGAAAUCCCUCAGCUUAACUGGGGAACUGCGUCUGAGACUGGAUGGCUUGAGUGCAGGAGAGGAACGCGGAAUUCCAGGUGUAGCGGUGAGAUGCGUAGAUAUCUGGAGGAACACCGGUGGCGAAGGCGGCGUUCUGGACUGCAACUGACACUGAGGAACGAAAGCCAGGGAGCAAACG